rnacentral:misc_RNA from 1 species
AACGCACAUUGCGCCCCUUGGUAUUCCAUGGGGCAUGCCUGUUCGAGCGUCAUUUGUACCCUCAAGCUCUGCUUGGUGUUGGGUGUUUGUCCUCUCCUCUGCGUUUGGACUCGCCUUAAAGCAAUUGGCAGCCAGUGUUUUGGUAUUGAAGCGCAGCACAAUUUGCGAUUCUAGCCCAAAGACUUGCGUCCAUAAGCCUUUUUUAACCUUUGACCUCGGAUCAGGUAGGGAUACCCGCUGAACUUAA